rnacentral:tRNA from 1 species
GCCGGAGUAGCUCAGUUGGGAGAGCAUUAGACUGAAGAUCUAAAUGUCCCCGGUUCGAUCCCGGGUGAGGCA